GCCCUGGUAGUAUAGAGGCCCAGUAUGCGGCGCUGUCACCGCCGUGACCCGGGUUCGAAUCCCGGCCAGGGCGCCA
rnacentral:tRNA from 1 species